GGGAUAAAGGUGAACCGGGCUUGCCAGGCCUUGAUGGGCUGGAUGCCCCUUGCCCUGUGGGAGAUGAUGGUUUACCUGUACCAGGAUGUUGGAAUAAAGGUCAACAUCCUUUCCAGCUGGCUAAGAAGUAGCGUUCCAAAACAUCUCCUUGAAGCCACAGAGAGGAAACUUGAAGAUAUCUGAGACACCUUUGAGUUGAGACACCAACCUAGAGAUGGUAUUUCAGGAUUGUUCCAGAAGGCUGGACACAAGACCUGUACUGGGUCUUUGGUGAGCUGAAGACUGGAUCAUCAUCAUCAUAGCAAGUCA